CCUACGGGAGGCAGCAGCAAGGAAUUUUCGGCAAUGGGCGCAAGCCUGACCGAGCAACGCCGCGUGGAGGAUGACGGCCUUCGGGUUGUAAACUCCUUUUGCGGGGGAUGAUGAUGACCGUACCCCGCGAAUCAGGCUCGGCUAACUCUGUGCCAGCAGCCGCGGUAAGACAGAGGAGCCAAGCGUUGUCCGGAUUGACUGGGCGUAAAGCGCACGCAGGCGGUUGCGCGCGUGGGGUGUGAAAGCGAGCCGCUUAACGGCUCGAGGCCAUCCCAUACGGCGCAACUCGAGAGUGGCAGAGGUUCGUGGAAUUGCCGGUGUAGUGGUGAAAUGCGUAGAGAUCGGCAGGAACACCAAGGGGGAAACCAGCGAACUGGGCCAUAUCUGACGCUCAGGUGCGAAAGCGUGGGGAGCGAACCGGAUUAGAUACCCGGGUAGUCCACGCGGUAAACGAUGAAUACUCGGCAUCUGGCGGCCGAUCUUCGGCGGCCGGGUGCCCCAGCUAACGCGGUAAGUAUUCCGCCUGAGAACUACGAGCGCAAGCUUAAAACUCAAAUGAAUUGACGG
rnacentral:rRNA from 1 species